UGGCGUCCGCCAUUGCAUUGUAUUGAUUAGGCUGCUUCCUUUCUUUUCUUUUCAUGAACGUGAAGUGAAGAAGCCGGUCAAAAUCUUCUUGUUUUUGUCGUAAAGUUAAAUAAUGAUAAAUUAUAAUUUAUAUCUAAUCUACAAGAUCUAUCCUUUGUUAUUGAAGUUAUUAUUUUUGCAAUAGUUCGGCGCUUGUUAUUGUUAGUUGAAAAUCUCGAGACAUGGCGGGGGCCAGCAUGCUGGUUGGUGAUUGAGGUAAAUUUUCACCAUUGAUUCACUAUGUACGUAAACUAGGUAUUUUUUUAUUGCAGGUACUACAUCCAAGAUUCAGUUCCCACUUCCCGGACUCCAGAUCAGAACAGAACAGCCAUCAAAGGCAGCAAUGUCCAAGCACCAAGUUUGUGCGGCUGAAGAUGAAGAGGCUUAAAGGCUGACUGAGCCAGCAGCUUUCACCAGCCAGGACUUCAAGAAACGAAUUGACAGUCCCGAGUAACUGAUGGAAUCAUCUAUUGAGUCAAAUAUGCUGCAGAACUAUUCAGCUGUAAUGUAUACAGCUGUCUAUCAAAGAAGAUGAAGUCAUAUGAACAAUUAAGCAUAAAUCAUAAUUAUUGUUUUUAAUUUGUUAACAUUGAUAAUAGAUAAUUCAUUGCUGAAAUAAUGGUGUUGGCUUUAAGAGCACUGGUUUAAGUAACGCUCCAUCAUUAGAAUCAGGUUGAGUUUUUAAAUAAAGCAGUGGAAAAGACCACAAUCAAUGAAAUUUGAUGCUACAGAAAUAAUAGUGCAAUUUCGUCAAUGUAACUUUUGUCAUAAUAUAAAAAUUGUAAACCUUAAAUCGGAUUUAAGAAACAUGAACAACAAGUAUGAAUUUCUUGAGUUCAGUGGUGCUAACAUGCGACAAGUGAAAAAAUAGACAAAAUAUCGUCCAACGGAUAAAUUAUCUCGUUGGUCGCAAGUUAGCGCCACUGAAAGUUGAGAAAGAAAGAAAUUAAAGGGAUUGAAAUUGAUUGGAAAAUAUGCUUUACUAACGAAGUAAAGUAGUAUGCAGUAUGAAAAACAAGUAUUAACUUUGUGUUUUGUUGACACAAAGUUAAUACUUUUUUUUCAUACUGCAUGUUUCAAUUUUUUUUUUACUUUUCUUAUAAUUUAAUAAAUGAAAUGUUGAGUGACAAACUGAUUGUUUAUUUGAUUGAAAUACAAUAUUUUGGUAUAUUUGUAGUUCAUAUUGUCAUGAAAAGGAGCAUAAUAUUUUAAUAGUUCUUAAAUACCUCAUUGGAUAUUAAUAAAGUAAGUCUGUCGUUUAAGAGUUACCCUGGUGUAAACAUUCAUGGUUUAUUUGAUAGAAAACAAUGUAAAGUAUUUCGUACUCAAAAUGACCCACUUGUAGUUGUUUAGUGUGCUGGCGUGAUGGUUUAGUAUAGUUCAGUCUCUUGCAAAAGAAAAACAAAAUAAAGCAUAAUAUUUUACCAGUGAAAAAUAUUUUGGUUCCAAAAUAAGUCUUAUAGAGGCUGUGAUAGUUUAUACUAGAGUAAUGGUUUAUUUGAAUGAAGUUCUGGUGUAGUUCAGUGUCUUGCAAAAUAAAAUGAAAUGAAGCAUUAUAUUUUACUAAUGUAAAAUAUUUUGUUUCUGAGAUGGGUCACUCUUGUCUUAUGAGGCUUGAUCGUUUAUACUACAGUAAUGGUUUAUUUGAAUGAAGUUCUGGUGUAGUUCAGUGUCUUGCAAAAUAAAAUGAAAUGAAGCAUUAUAUUUUACUAAUGUAAAAUAUUUUGUUUCUGAGAUGGGUCACUCUUGUCUUAUGAGGCUUGAUCGUUUAUACUACAGUAAUGGUUUAUUUGAAUGAAGUUCUGGUGUAGUUCAGUGUCUUGCAAAAUAAAAUGAAAUGAAGCAUUAUAUUUUACUAAUGUAAAAUAUUUUGUUUCUGAGAUGGGUCACUCUUGUCUUAUGAGGCUUGAUCGUUUAUACUACAGUAAUGGUUUAUUUGAAUGAAGUUCUGGUGUAGUUCAGUGUCUUGCAAAAUAAAAUGAAAUGAAGCAUUAUAUUUUACUAAUGUAAAAUAUUUUGUUUCUGAGAUGGGUCACUCUUGUCUUAUGAGGCUUGAUCGUUUAUACUACAGUAAUGGUUUAUUUGAAUGAAGUUCUGGUGUAGUUCAGUGUCUUGCAAAAUAAAAUGAAAUGAAGCAUUAUAUUUUACUAAUGUAAAAUAUUUUGUUUCUGAGAUGGGUCACUCUUGUCUUAUGAGGCUUGAUCGUUUAUACUACAGUAAUGGUUUAUUUGAAUGAAGUUCUGGUGUAGUUCAGUGUCUUGCAAAAUAAAAUGAAAUUAACCAUUAUAUUUUACUAAUGUAAAAUAUUUUGUUUCUGAGAUGGGUCACUCUUGUCUUAUGAGGCUUGAUCGUUUAUACUACAGUAAUGGUUUAUUUGAAUGAAGUUCUGGUGUAGUUCAGUGUCUUGCAAAAUAAAAUGAAAUGAAGCAUUAUAUUUUACUAAUGUAAAAUAUUUUGUUUCUGAGAUGGGUCACUCUUGUCUUAUGAGGCUUGAUCGUUUAUACUACAGUAAUGGUUUAUUUGAAUAAAGUUCUGGUGUAGUUCAGUGUCUUGCAAAAUAAAAUGAAAUGAAGCAUUAUAUUUUACUAAUGUAAAAUAUUUUGUUUCUGAGAUGAGUCACUCUUGUCUUAUAAGGCUUGAUCGUUUAUACUACAGUAAUGGUUUACUUGAAUGAAAUUCUGGUGUAGUUCAGUGUCUUGCAAAAUAAAAUGAAAUGAAGCAUUAUAUUUUACCAAGGUAAAAUAUUUUGUUUCUGAAAUGGGUCAAACCAUUAAGUUUAUACUUAAUGGUUUGGCAAGUGGAUUGAUGACAUGUCCAUUUGGUGAACGAACCCUCAUUGCAGUUCCGUUAGGACUAGUCUAGUAUAAACUAUUACAGCCACUAUAUUAGAGUGAUGGUUUAUUUGAAUGAAAUUCUGGUGUAGUUCAGUGUCUUGCAAAAUAAAAACAAAAUGAAGCAUUAUAUUUUACCAAUGUAAAAUAUUUUGUUUCUGAGAUGGGUCACUCUUGUCUUAUGAGGCUUGAUCGUUUAUACUACAGUAAUGGUUUAUUUGAAUGAAGUUCUGGUGUAGUUCAGUGUCUUGCAAAAUAAAAUGAAAUGAAGCAUUAUAUUUUACCAAGGUAAAAUAUUUUGUUUCUGAAAUGGGUCAAACCAUUAAGUUUAUACGUUAAGACUAUAUGGGGUAAUAUUAUGAUUUACAAAAAUUUGCUAGUUAUAUGAUUGAUAUAGAUUCGUUGAAUCUGGCAAUAAUUUAAUCUCUCACGAGGAAAAAACAAAACUUGCGAAGUUCAACAUUCCCACUUUGUAGAUCCUUUAGAACUAUUUUAAUAUAGAAUUAUUUUAAUAUGUAAUCUGGUAGCAUUUUUGUUUUCAUCGGCCAAGAUUCAGGAUUAGCUGACUGGUACGAAAUCGAAAGUUUGUUUGUGUCGGCUGAUUUGGAAUUUGAUACUUCACUUUAUUUAAAGCUUUCGUCAUUUCCGUGUUUUGAAAUUCGAAGAUUUGUCUCUGUCAUUUUUACAUCUCCGGCAAAAAAGAUAACAAAAAAUGGCGAUUAGGAUUAUCAUCAUUCUUAUUAAAAUUUUUGAAAAGACAUUCUUGAAAUGGUGUCAUGUUUUAGUUUUUAUUUUUAGUUCGGGAUACAGUUGGUUGCGAUGUCUGUUCUGAUGUCGACGGCAGGUUCUGUUAUACCGAUGUUUGCAUAUUGACGCUGACUGCGAUGAAUGCGGUUGAUAUAGCUCAUUCGUGACCUGCCACGGCUCUUGUGCUUUCGACCUUUCCUUGCAGCAGUUGUCUCGUUGUGUAAAUUGCUGUUUAUUCCCCAGUUCUUGGAGGAUUGAGAUGUUGGUUUGAAACUGUAUCCAGGAUAUGGCAGGCAAAUGCAAAUUCAAAAUUAAUAUAUUUCAAUUAAGCUCUACAAGCACUUUUGACACGUUGAGUUAUGACAUUAUUUAAUGGUGGUAGGUACAGUUGAAAACUUUAAAUUAAAGUUACUAGGAAUUCUUCUACACCACAUUUCUAGAGCGUUUUGUCUUCUUUUUUCACUUUCUCCCAGAGCCCAAGUCUCAUCACUAUAAAGAAAUCUCGUUCAAAAAAUGCAAACUGGGGCAACUGAAUUGUUUAUGUAGACAUUCUUGUCUUUCCAAGUUUUAUGAAACUUAAAGUCGUAAACUUAAGAUUAAGGCUACGAGUGCUAGGAUUCCAAAUUGGCUGAAUCUGAGAAGAAACCCACAUCGAAAUCUGCCAGGUUAAUCACAAACAAUCUCAUUAAAAAUGUUAAAACUUGGAACGGAAUACAGUUUUUUACAAAUGUUACUCAAUGUACUGUGUGUUACGUCAAUACUUCCUUCUAUUAGGUGUUACAUAUAUUAUUGUAAUUUGAAUGGCAAUUUAUUAUAUUAAAUCCUGUGUGCGAAGACCUUCGAGCCUCGAUUGUUCUCGAUUGUAUCCUUGAUACGCUCGGUGUUGAAGCGUCGCAAGUCGCAUGUCUGCGAUUUAGAGAUCUGUCUUUUAAUCUAAUGGUAUUUUAACGCGUCUGUUGAGGACUGCAAUCUCAUUUCUUGUCUUUCUUUUAGAGCUUGAGUGUAUGGUCUGAGAACUUGUUAGUUCUUUUUGUACAGUGGGUUUUGAAAAACUUAAACCCGACCGUUUGGACAUUUUCCACAAGCCUGUUGUUUAGAUCAUCCACAUCAACGCAAUCAGCUAUGCAAUCGAUGCGGUUCUGUAACUCCAGUUGAAAGCUCUCGGUGAUUUGGAUUUGGGCACGAGAAGGUCGGAGCUUAGAGUUCACCAGUUUGUACCGUUUCAGCUGUAAGUUGAUAUUCAAAGUUCCUCUUACCAUUCGAUGAUCACUACCGGUUUUGACUCUGUUGAUCACAGAUACAUUUUUGAAUAUAUGCCGUUUGGUAUACAAGAUGAAAUCUAUCUCGUUUUUUGUGGAACCAUCAGGACUCUUCCAGGUCCAUUUCCUCUGUGGCGGCUUCCUGAAGAAGGAGUUCAUCAUAAAGAGACCCUCCUUCUCCAUGAAGUCAGCCAAUAUUUGGCCCCUCUGGUUCCGAUGCCCAUAACCAAAUUGCGCCACUCUCAGCUCUGAACCGCUCCUCACACCCAGUUUUGCAUUGAAAUCCCACAUCACAAUAUUGUAGUAGGAGUGCGUGACAUGUAUGGCUUUUGAUAUAUCUUCAUACAAUAUCUCUACCUCCUCGUCGGUUUGUUUCGAGGUCGGCGCGUAAACCUGUAUAAUCUUCAUCGAAUACCGAUUGGUAAUUCGGAGAGCGAGGUACGCUACCCUACUCGACACACUCUCGACUCGUACAACAUUGUUCACGAGGGAUUUGCGGACGAUAAACGUUAGUUCGGUCCGUAAAGUGCGUGCGUUAAAUGUUGCCAGGUCUAGUCGUCAGGGCUGGCAGCGGAAUCUCCCCCGGAGAUUCUUGACACCCCUGGCCCCACCGUUACCACAACCGCUGCCAGAGCCGGGAAUAGCGGGGCCACCGGGGACUAGGGGUUGUUUGUGUUUGGCUUUGUCCAUAUAGGUUAAUGCCCAAAGAAUGACCACGCUGGGCAUGCGGGUUGGUCAUUCGCAGAGCUGGAUUUUUCCGCACCGCUGGAUUUUCAUAAAUGGUACAAGCCGGUGUCGUUGCUGCCCGACACCGGCCUGUGCCAUUUAUAAAAAUCCAGCCAUUUAUUUACUUUUAUACUGUGGUCCUUCGGAAUGUUCGUCUCCCAUGGCAUAGUAAGCUCUACAAGUACUAUUCGGUUUGGAUAAAAGGAAAAUGUCUGGUCUAGAUCUCGAAAUAGCGACAUCCACUGGGAUUUUAUAAUGUUUCUCAUACGUAUCCAUUAAUAAUGUCCAAUCAGGUGCAGAACCUAUGAUUGAGUAAGGUUUACUAGAUGAUUUUGUUAUUGAACCUGUUUUGACGAAGUUAAUUUGUCUUUUAUUUAUAGUCGAUGCUUUUUGAGAUCUAGCUAGCUACUUAUAGCUUCACGUAUAAUUUGAAGUACCCUAUCACGUGAGUAAAGACCCCUAUCCAGGAGCACCAUGCAUCCAACCAACAAGUGCCUUGCUGUCCCUAUUGCCUCACCACAAGUAUAGCAAGAUUUUUCAGUGACUUUCCCCCAUCGUACUAAGUUGCUCUGAUCUGAGAGAGACAUUUGAAAGGCAUUAACAUAGUAUUUUAAUAAGGCAGGAGACCAGUCAUAUAGCAAUGUGCGCCACUUUAGUGCAACCGGGAUGCAGUACUCAACUAAGGAUAACCACUCAUUUUGAAUUUCUAAAUUCAUUGCGUGCUUUUUGUAGCUGUCAUUUUCAUCUUGUUGUAAAAAGGAUUAUACUAUGUCUCGGUCUCCUUUUUUCUUAAGAUAAUUAAAUUCUUAAAUUUUUGCUUAAAGAACGAAUUCAUCAUGAAGAGGUUGUUCGUCUGGCCUACCAACCCACAUUUGGCCUCUGAUAUUUCUACUUCCAUAUCCAUGUUGUCCUAUAACUGACUAGGAACCGUUCUGAGUGCUCAAUUUCGCGUUGAAAUCACCCAUAAUAAUGUUGAAAUGGGAUUUGGGUGUUGUUCAAGGCUCUGCUGAUAUCCUCGUACAUUAUUUCGACGUCAGUAUCUAAGUGCUUAGAUGUUGGUACAUGUACUUGGAUAACCUUAAGAGUCUCUUGGUUAUUUUUAUUACGAGAUACGUGACCCGUGAAGAGGACUGAUAUUUCUAGAUGUUAUCAACGAGAGCUCUAUUGACAAGGAAUCCGACGCCGCUCUGUGGUGGCCUGUCAUCUUGCCUAUGGUAGAUAAGGUGUCUUGAUUCUAGUGUCUUGGUGUCCUCCCCUUCUCUACAGACUUCACAUAACCCCAGAAUAUUCCAUUUUAUGUUCUCCAGUUUAGCCUCCAACUCUGUCAUGCUUUCGUCGAGUCUUAAGGUCUGUCCGUUAUACGUUGCCAAGGUCGGUUGUUUUUGGUAGCCUGUCGUCACCCAGAGAUUCUUACCAUCCCCUGUUUCACUAUACCUUUGACUGUUACCAUAGUCAGAAGUAGAGCCGCCGGGAACUGGGGACUUCUUUUCGGUUUGCCACUAAUUAGGUUAUAUGUCCUAAUCACCACACUGGCUGGGCAUGUGGGUUGGCAAUCGCAGAGCCAGACUGGGUGUCGCUGCUGCCUGACACCGGUCUGUGCCUAUUAUUUUGGAAUGGUAAACUGAUAAUUGUUUCCGCCAUUGUUCGGAUGCCAGAGCCUCGUUUGUUAAUCAGCAGAAGAUACCACGGGCAGAUGAGGUUGUCUGUUAGAGUGCUAAGGUGGAGGUGCACUCCCUUAUCCUCCUGCGGAGAUCCCUAGUUGAUUGGCUUUUAUAUGAUUUGGCGUUAUUGGAUUGAUACAUUGAAGUGCUAAAAUGCCUUUACGGCGCUGCGUUUAUGUCGUUCAAAAGUACAAGGCGCGUCUACAAGACUGAUCCGAUUACAUCGAGCCGAAACUGUUUCCGGAUGCUUUGGAAGAUGUCUUUAAAACGCUAGAAUUAUGGCAUCAACAUAAAUGGCGAGCAAACUUCACACCUUCGCUUUGCCGAUGAUAAGGUUCAUCAUCACAAGUUCGCUGCAGGAACUUCAAAACCUGCUGGAUAGCCUUCAUGUUACCUCCCAACGUGUUAGUCUCCGGAUGAAUCUGGGUAAGACCAAGGUCAUGUUAAAUGAUUUAAUCGUUCUGGGACCUAUUACUGUUGAUGGAUACCAUCAAAGCUGUUUCUGAAUAUGCUUACCAUAAAACUUUAAAAUGAGGUAUUAGGUAAGCAUAUUCAGAAACGUAUUACAAAAUUUUGUUGAAUGCGGGUUAUAGGUUUCAUCGUAUGUAUUCAUUUUAUUAGAAGUGUUAUGUUCCUGUGUGGUGUGGUGUAUCCUGUGUUAAUUGAUGACGGGAUGUAUUGAUCGCUGCUGUGUGAAUCAGAAAAAUGUGAUGAAAAUCGAGACCAGUUUGUUUAUGUCGGUUCAUUUGCAAUUUGAUACUUCACUUUAUUUACACUUCACCAAGACUCGUCCUAAAAAUGCAAACUGUGAGCGGGUAAUUGAAUUUUUUAUGGAGUCAUCGUUGUCUUUCCUCGUUUUAUGACAAUUAAAGUCGUAAACUUAAUAUUAAAGCUACGAUUCCAAAUUAGCUGAGUCUGAGAAGAAUCCCAUAACAAACUUUAUCAGGUCAAUCAAAUCUCAUCAAAAAUGUUAAAACUUGGAACGAAAUACAUUUUUUUAUAAAAUUCACUUAAUUAUUAAAUGGCAAUUUAUUAUAAUUUUACUGAUACUUUCUAGCGGAAGCUCUUUUACGUCUGCAUUUUUUUAAUUUUUAAAGUUUCUGACAACAAUACCCUUGACCCAAACCCAAACCAACUCAAUGGGAUUGAGCUCACAGUAGUAUGGUGGUAUGCGAAGUAUAGUUACACAAUUUUGUGCGGCUAGAUUGUCUAUGAUAUAAGUAUUAUAUUUAAAUUUUUCUUUAUUAACAAUUUGUAACAAAUUCACUUUUGAGCAUAGUCUCGUCAAAUGUCAAUUUUUUUGACAAUAGCCAGGCCUGAACAUCGGCUUUUCUCUAUGAGGUUGUUGGAAUUUUUUCCAUUUUUCUUUAGUGAUAAGGAGCAAUUAUCUAUGACAAUUACCGAAUCUUUUUUAAUUUAGGUAAAAUAAUUUGGAACCAUUUCUCAAACACACCGUUCAUAUCACUAUGAUAGUCUUAUUACUUUUUUUACUUUCUAAUAAGAGCAAUCACCGACCAAUGUGGCAAAUAAUUAUUAAUCGUCUGCCUUUAUCAGGAGCCAUCGGUAGACGCCAUAUUUUUGACGCCAUAAAACAAUUUCUGUCGUCAAAAACGUCAAUCAUGUUUCUGAAUGUUAUCUAAGGUCCAGUAUUUAUUGGUCUUUUUAUAUUUAAAUUUUGUUUAUAUUAUUAUCUUGAAGCUCUGUAUGGCAUUUGCGGGAGUAGCUAUGCUGUAAGCCGGAGACAAAAUUUGAGCAAUUUGAUAAGCUGUUAUCACUCGACCAGGAUGGUAACGCAUCCAUUUUUCACACUCUUGUGCAUAAAAAAUCUCGAGACUGUUAUGGAUGCAGCGAUGGAGCUGCUGAGUUUUGUGUCUGCUGUGAGGUGAGAUUGUCAAGGCGUGAAUGUGGUUUUCCCGGAUGAAAUGGACCGCUCCUAAGGUGCAGCGGGACGUGUGGUUAUCUAGUAUUACUAAUACUGGACUGUCUUUGCUAGGCUUUGCGUGGUCUUUCAAAUGAGAUAACCAGUCAACAAACAAAGAGCUGUUCAUGUAACUUGUGAUAGAGGAAGGUAGGGCUCCAUCUAAAAGCUCGGCCUUCAUCCGUUUGCGUAGAAAAAUGAAGGCAGGUGUCACAUUGAUGUUACGUUCAGCAUUGGAAAUGUUGUUGAUGCAUUUCAUUCAUUUUGUAGCUUAACUUGGGACAUUCCGGUCUCGUCUAUGUUAUAAAUUGCAUGAGGAGGGAACUUGUAAGUGUCUAACAACUUCGUCAGAUUUUCAAAAUAGCGAUCACAAUGAGGCUUAUUAAAACCUAUUGCAUAUUAAUCUUCUUUAAUAGUGGAAGUGCUGGAUUUAGAGACCAAUAACUUAUUGGUCUCUAAAUCCAGCAAUAAGUUACUAUAUGAGCUUUAUUUAAUUAAUUACUUUAGAACAAUCAUAUUACAGACAUAGAGUCACAGACAUAAGACCGAGUACAGAAUAAUACAGAACAUGAACCAUAGAUAGUGGUUGCCAUGGAGGUUAGUGGUAGUAGGUCGUAUUUUCAAAAAAGCCGAAGCCGCUCUGUACCUGCCAUUUUUUUUCUUGUUGAAACGAUGUUCUAAUCCAAUCCUUUCAGCAAAAUCAUAAGCAAUUUCUCGUAAUUUUUGAGUGGUCAAUACAUAGAACUUUGUAUGUUCAGGCAUACACUGGGGCCAAUAAAUUUUUCAAUUUAGGCUAUUAGAAUGUUUAAUAUGCUUGUACAAUGACAAAUUUGAGACUAAUUAGCACGCAUACAAAGAAUGUUCCUUGUAAUGCCUGCUAUAUUAAUUUAGCAAGCAUAUGAUAGACAACUUUGGUGUUAAUUCUUCUGACGGCUGACGGCCGCAACAAUCAUACUCGUACUUUUUGAUAUCACAGUUGCACAGCCAUAUUUCCAUUUCAGAGGAGAAAGAUUGCCCGAUCAUUAAUAUCCAGCGUAUUCUUAAAAAAACGUUUUGCAAACUCGUUAGUCUUAACAGGGGGAUUGCAAUGAAAUGCGUGAUUUUUAUGAUGUGGUUUCCUUGUUCUCCCCUUCACAAUAUACCAAUAUUUUGGGUUUGGAUAUACUCAUGGAAAUAUACUCCCAUUGCAUUUUGAUACUACCCAAUGCCCAAUAAUUCUCAAAUAAUAUUUUCCGUUCACCUUCAGAAACAUUUCUCUCCACAUGGUUCUUUCAUGGUUCUUUUGAGUUCAAGCAAGAAAAUCAGACAAAAAAGAAAGGUGGACACCAGGUCGACCAGUAUUACGCAGAUUUAUUAAUCACAUUUCUCCGCCAACUAGCUUCAUUUUGCUUACGUUUUCUUCGUAUUUUAGCUUUCGGACUUGGCGUAUUCGUGAAAAAGGAAUUUCAAGAAAUGAUGGAGAUAGGGAUAUGCAGGCCUUCACCUAGUACGACUCGAUCACGCAGAGAAACUCCAAGCAUAGCUCGCUCUUUCGCCCGCUGAGUGAUUUUAAGCCUUCUAAAAAGGCUCAUACUUAGCAACCAAGUUUCGGAUCCGUAGGUUAUCACUGGCAACAAACACUAUUCAAAGACUUUCGUCCUCAGGCAUUGAGGAAUGUCGGACGAGAAAAUGUCGUGAAGUUUCCCGAACGCUGCCCAGCCGAGCUGGAUUCGGCGAUUCACCUCUUUCUCGAAAUUUGACCUAACCUUACUGGACUGUGUGUCCUAGGUAAAACUCUGUUGAGGUCGUUGAGUGAUUUACUCACCAUUGAUGUUGAUGCCAAAUCCGUUCCAGUCCAAAAGUUUAAAGACGUCUUCCAAUGCGGCGGUAAAUAGCUUCGGACAGAUCACAUCUCCCUGCCGCACUCCUCGGCCAAUUAAAUUGGUCUCGUAGUCUGAUCCUGUAUACGGACUGACAUAGUGGCGUUUUCAUACAAACACUUCAACACUUGGAUGUACCUGUAGUCGAUCCGGCAUCUCUGCAAAGAUCUCGGGCUUAGAAGUUAAGAUAUUGCCCUGAUCGGUCUUCAAACGGGUCAACUGUCUUUGUCCAAUAGACAGAUCUCUCGCGAACACUUUUGAGCCUCGAUUAUUCUCGAUUGUAUCCGUGAUACGCUCGGUAUUGAAGCGUCGCGCGUCGCAUGUCUGCGAUUUAGAAAUCUGUCUAUUAAUCUGACGGUACUUUGACGGGUCUGUUGAAGACUGCAAUUUCAUUUCUUGUCUCUCCUCCAUGAGCUUGAGUGUAUGGUCCGAGAAUUUGUUGGUUAAUGGAAGUUUUGAAAAACUUAAUCCGACCGUAUGGGCAGUUUCCACAAGCUUGUUGUGUAGAUCGUCCACAUCAACGCAAUCUAAGCGGUUUUGCAAUUCCAGUUGAAAGCUCUCGGGGUUUUGGAUUUGGGCACGAGUAGGACGAAACUUAGAUUUCACCAGUUUGUACCGUUCUAGCUGUAAGUUGUUAAACUAGGUUCAUUGUUCGGGUGGCACUGUCACUUUUUUGAUUACUAUUUUUUGUUAUUGCGUAUUAACGCACUCUAAGCUAAGCUGGCACUUAUUCCUGGCACCGUAGCGACAAACCGCUCGUAACUCCUUGUUUGGAGCUGUGAUGCGAUGUUUGCAGUAACGCCAGUUGAUAAUGCAUUGGUUAGCGUUACAAUGCGCUGACGGUAGCCUCUACUUCUUUUGAGAGUUAAUGAUUGUCUUGAUGAUAUUGUUGGAACUCGCUUCGUAAAUUGCGCUAUUGUGCGCUAUAAUGAAAGCGUGCUGCUUUGUUCAAUGUUUUCGCAGGUAUAAAGUGUAGCUGUAGGGUGUAAUUGAAGGGACGCGUAGCUAAUCUCCGGCUUCUAGAUUUGAAUUUCUAGAAUGUCAAGUGUGGGUAUCUCAUAUGUUGAAUUUCACGGUUCGUUUUACUGUGCGACUAGAUCUUGUUUUAAGUGGUAACGGCUGGCUCGGCGUAAUGCAGAUAUUGGGCUCUGCUUUUCUGUUCCCUGGGCUUGAGAACUCUAUAUCGUCUACAAUUAAUACAUAAGUGACACUGUGACUUUUUUGUUGUUACAAUCUAAAGUGUAUAUGAGAUGGCACCAACGAUCAUCUUGUCUAUGAUCGUCGUUUCUAACAAAUAUGUGGGAACAAUUUAUUAGGUGUUUGUCACCGACGCGUAUUUAUAAUAUUAUGUACAGUACAUGAAUUUAAAUAAAUGGCGAAACGGAACGUGUGUGGUGAAAAACGUCACUCACUGACAGUAAAAUCAAAACGUCACUCGUUGACAACUAAUUUGAAAACUAACGACUCUUCCUCCAACCGAGCAACGGUCACCACACACGUCUCCAAAGAAAUAAGCCGAUUUUACCAAAAGCUGUGUUUUUAUUGAGCCUGGCCUUUACAGUGUUGAUGAAUAAAUAUUUUGCUGUCCCGCGUUCAUAAGUCUGUAUGUGUGAGGUUAGAAACGGUUGAGAGGGUAUCAAUUAAUAGUUUUAUGAACUCAUGAACGCUAAUAUUUGUUUUAGUUCUUGAGCUAAAUAUAUCGCUUAAUAACCUAACACUACAUCAAUAUAAAAAUUAUGAAGGACAAUCCUAGGUCUGAUUUUAUUGCUGUACGCAACCCUAAAAUAAUUAUUAGCAAAUUAUAUGGGAAUAAAACAUUUUCGCCACAUGAUUGAAGACAGAGAGCUAACGGUACUAACAGACCACAAACCAUUAACUUUUGCUUUCAAAAAUAUGCGUAGUACGUGUAUGUAGCGUUGUGUGACCGCGAAUAUUGCGCGAUCGUCGAUUGGUCCUCCGUAUAAAAUAUAAUCGGCCGUGAGUUUGCUUCGCCUUUGUGUGGCCAAAACAGAGAUGACAGCGCCCGUAUCAAUGAAAAAAUGUGUUCCGUUUACGACACCGGCUAAGUUGUUAGAUAUGCAAGUCGGUGUCGGAAUUAGUUUUCUGACUGUUUAUUACGGUUAUGAAUGUCACCAUGUUCCGUGCGUUCGCUCCGUAAUUUAAAUGGUAAAAGCACUUAUAACCUAAUUCAUCUGGCUGAGCAGUUUGAUUUAUAAAAAGUUGCCUAUUUCUAAAACCUACACUAUUAUCACGGCUUUUUGAGCGAGCCCUCGAUGGACCCGGGAAACCCGGGUUGUUUAUUUGAGUAUUUAACGCUGCGAUUUGUUCUUUAAGCACGUUAAUUCAUAAUUUUCAAUGGCUUGUAUCAGAAUCAGAUCUUGAGAUUGGCGAUAACUCUGGUGCUCUGGUAUUCUCUAAAAUUUCGUCGGCUGCUGCCGCUAUGCUAUCUAAUUUAACCUCCCCUGUAUCGCAUGCUGUGAGAACCGCUCUUAUUGACUGUGGGAGAAGACCGGUCCAUAGUAGUUUAAGAGUUUGCUCGGGAAUACGGUUUUUUCCGAGAUUACGCAUGCGUCUUAAUAAUUGCGAUGGUUUUUGAUGGCCUAACUCAAUCUCGUUCAGUUGUUGAUUGAGUUGACGUGUUUCUGACUCCUCACAAGUAGAAAUAAGCCUAUUUUGCAAAGUUUUAAAAUUAGUUCGUGUCAGGCAUAUUGUAUAACAAGUCACUUAUGUCACUUAAUUUGUUUUAACCCAACCUAGCUAUUAAUAAUUGACUUUUAUGGAGAUCCAAAGGUAAGUACCUUUUAAGGCUCCACGAUGGCGUUGAAUUGGUGGAACGAUAUCCGUGGUCGCUCCCGCCAGAAGUCUGGUAUUCUCGAUUUCUUGGUGAUAGCUGUCAUGUGUGGCUGUGUAGACUGUUCCGGAAGCGCUUGUGCUUUAUUUCGUUUAUUAAAAGAUGAAGUUACGUUUCAUAUGUAAGUAUUUAUUUAUAUCAAAUUUAUAAUAAAAAUGUCGUAUAAUUAAAUUUAUAAUGUAUUUCGGCCAUGAUCCCGACUGCCAUAUCUUGUUACAAAUGUCUUGGAAGAUAUGGACACCCAUAUCAUCCAAAGUCUUUAUAGUUUCGAUUGGGAUAGCAUCACCCCCUGUAGCUUUUCCGUAUUUUUUACCUCUUAACCAUGCUGAAGAGACCCGAGUUUUCUUGUUUUUCUGUAAUGAGUUUUUAUUUCCUUGGGCAUGCAUGGCUUUGAUAUUUACUGAGUUCACGGAAAACGAAGAUUUUGCAGGCUGUAUUUGUCUGUCAGGGGUUAUCUCUUUAAUUAAUCGUGCAGAAGUCCAAGGCUGAGGUAAAAUCUUAGAAACUAUACCUUUACCACCAAACAAACAAACAAAAAGAGAAAGUUGCAGAACCGUCCACUAUUUCGGAUUGUAAUUUUACAAGGCAGCCAAGUUUGAAACGCAAAUCUGCACACUUUGGCGUUCCUCCGUCCAGUAUUUCGGAUUGUAAUUUUACAAGGCAGCCAAGUUUGAAACGCAAAUCUGCACACUUUGGCGUUCCUUCGUCUAGUGUUUCGGAUUGUAACUUUACAAGGCAGCCAAGUUUGAAAUGCAAAUCUGCACACGAUGGCGUUCCUCCGUCCAGUAUUUCGGAUUGUAAUUUUACAAGGCAGCCAAGUUUGAAACGCAAAUCUGCACACGAUGGCGUUCCUCCGUCCAGUGUUUCGGAUUGCGACUUUACAAGGUAGCCAAGUUUGAAACGCAAAUCUGUAGAAGUAUACAAAUGAAAACUUUAAAAUGAAGUUAACUACCUCUUUUUCCUGUUUCGUGGUAAACAUUGAUCUACUUGUAUAACCUACGGGAGAAUUUUUACCAGCUUUCGUUUUUUUGUACGAUGUAUCGAUUACGACAAUGUAAUGUCGUGUGGCAGAUUUUCAAGUUCUCUGGUUACCGUUUUUACUUUUUUCAAUCUUGUAUAACUACAUUGGCAGCUUAGCGUUUUUCGUAAAUAGAAUAAAGCGAAAAAAAAUUCUGCCAACGAAGUGGUUAAAUCUCAUGAAGGUAAAUACAUUGUGUUUUAUUUAUCUAACCUAUUUAGAAUUAUUGUUUGCGUUCUCAAUAGAAUCCGAAUCUUUUUCCUGUUCCGUGGUAAACAUUGAUCUACUUGUAUAACCUACGGGAGGAUCUUUACCAGGUGUCGUUUUUUUGUACGAUGUAUCGAUUACGACGAUGUAAUGUCAUGUGGCAGAUUUUCAAGUUCUCUGGUUACCGUUUUUACUUUUUUCCAUCUUGUAUGACCACAUUGGCAGCUUGGCAUUUUUUGUAAAAAGACCAAAGCGACAAAAAAUUCUACCGAUAAAGUGGUUAAAUGUCAUGAAGGUAAAUACAUGGUGUUUUAUUUAUCUGACCUAUUUAAAAUUAUUGUUUGCGUUCCCAAUAGAAGGAAAACUUUAAAAUGAAGUUAACUACCUCUUUUUCCUGUUCCGUGGUAAACAUUGAUCUACUUGUAUAACCUACGGGAGGAUCUUUACCAGCUUUCGUUUUUUUUGUACGAUGUAUCGAUUACGACGAUGUAAUGUCAUGUGGCAGAUUUUCAAGUUCUCUGGUUACCGUUUUUACUUUUUUCCAUCUUGUAUGACCACAUUGGCAGCUUGGCGUUUUUUGUAAAAAGACCAAAGCGACAAAAAAUUCUACCGAUAAAGUGGUUAAAUGUCAUGAAGGUAAAUACAUGGUGUUUUAUUUAUCUGACCUAUUUAGAAUUAUUGUUUGCGUUCCCAAUAGAAGGAAAGCCUACCUUCAUUAUAACUGAAUGACAUAUAUGAAUAAAUGAGAACUUAUUCAUAAAUGUGCUCCGCUCCUGAUACUUAUACUAUAUUCCAAUGCAAUCAUAACCGAUUUACAUUUUUUUUUGAAUUGCAGAAACUAUACCUUUACCACCAAACAAACAAACAAAAAGAGAAAGUUGCAGAACCGUCCAGUAUUUCGGAUUGUAAUUUUACAAGGCAGCCAAGUUUGAAACGCAAAUCUGCACAUUUUAGCGUUCCUCCUUAAAGUAUUUCGGAUUGUAAUUUUACAAGGCAGCCAAGUUUGAAACGCAAAUCUGCACACGAUGGCAUUCCUCCGUCCAGUGUUUCGGAUUGCAACUUUACAAGGCAGCCGAGUUUGAAACGCAAAUAUGUACACUUUGCCGUUCCUCCGUCCAGUGUUUCGGAUUGUAACUUUACAAGGCAGCUAAGUUUGAAAUGCAAAUCUGCACACGAUGACGUUCCUCCGUCCAUUGUUUCGGAUUGCGACUUUACAAGGCAGCCAAGUUUGAAACGCAAAUCUGCACACAUUUUCGUUGACAUUCAGGUGAAUAAGGUCAAUAUUAACUAAUCUAUACUAAUAUUAUAAAGCUGAAGAGAGAAUACCACCAAACAAAGAAAAAGAGGAAGUUGCAGAACCGACCAGUGUUUUGAAAAGUUAUUGUUGUGCUAUCUUGAGGGUGCCUUUGGUAAAGGCUUUACAAUUUGAGGAUUAAACACAGCUGAAGCAUUUGUCUUUCCUGAUGUUAAUUGAAGUGCAUGGGCACUAUUAAUAGUCACAGAGGCAGCCUGAGAUACAUCACCUUGAUCUGUGGCAGAUUGUUGAGAUGGUUCACCAAUCUGACCCGAUGUUGAAGUCUUUUAUUUUCAAAUUUAUUUGAGGUAAUAUUUGAAUGCUACGAUUCCGGGAAUUUCAUAAAUUGACAUUGUUUUUCCCGAAUUAUUUCGUAGCCAGUUGUCUUGAGCAUGAGCACAGUACGAUUUAAAUAGCCCAUUGAUGCCCACAUCCAGUGGCUGUAGCCUGUGUGUGCAGUGAGAUGGGAACGACAUCAUUUUUAUUGAGUUUGCUUUAGCUUUCUCAACUUCGUUGGUGUCUAUGUGUGACGAGGGAUUGUCUGUUAUUUAAUAGUAACACUGGUUCUAUCUGGAGUGGGUUUCGUGAACUUGAUCAAGUGAUCCAUAUAUGUGAGGAAUUCAGUGGCAGUCAUCCAUCCUGAUUUAUUCCCAGCUUCAAUUGACUCAGAGGGCCCAUCUCUUAAAACAAGUCUUUAAAUUUUAAACGGAGAAAGACAAACAGGUGGAACCGUAUUUCCUGCGACACUUGCUACUAACUAAAGUCCCACGCUCUGCGAAAACUAUAGCACCAACCUUUGUUUUGUGCCUUUUUAAGCUACUAUCUUCUCCGGCUUUAAAACAGUUGUGACUCCAGUCUCGUCCAGGUUCCAUAUUCUGGAAGGAGAUAUCUUAUAUUAGUAAAGAAUAUCGCCGAGUUUUGUUAAAAAAAUCAUCUAUUUCCUUUUUAACACGCUUAUAUUAGCUUCACUUGGUAGAAUCUCAAUUUGGCACACGCUCUGAGUUCUAAUGACAAUACAUGACUAGAAAAGAAACGUUAUACAAAUCCAAUAUGGCGGCCUCCUCAAGAUGGCGAACAGGCUAUUUGAAAUUAAAGAAAGAAAGAAAGAAAUAUCUUUAUUUUUAGGCAGUGACACACAUUACAAUAAUAAAUUUUAAAUAGUUAACUUAUAGCUAAGAAGAAGAACGCCCUGCAAUAUGUGGCAUAACCUAGAAAAAGGCCCUAACUCAGCAUUGCACCCCCAUGGUAUGGGUAUCAAAUGAAAAGGUUCUCUGCUAGAAAUACGAGAAAUAUCCAUUUUUAAUUAUUAGUGCGUGCUAAAAGCGUGUUUUUUAAACUUUUUUAUUGUUAUAAUUCCAGUGAACUAGUCCGCCUCAGCUUCUCGAUUCUUAUGCCACGUAGGAGGAAUGUUUCCCAAAGAAUAUUUAACUGCACAUUCAUACGCAAGUCUUCGUUACUCUCCUGGCAGCAAACCGAAGUAUACUAAUGAAAACUUUAAAAUGAAGUUAACUACCUCUUUUUCCUGUUCCGUGGUAAACAUUGAUCUACUUGUAUAACCUACGGGAGGAUUUUUACCAGCUUUCGUUUUUUUUGUACGAUGUAUCGAUUACGACAAUGUAAUGUCGUGUGGCAGAUUUUCAAGUUUUCUGGUUACCGUUUUUACUUUUUUCAAUCUUGUAUGACUUCAUUGGCAGCUAAGCGUUUUUCGUAAAUAGAAUAAAGCGAAAAAAAAUUCUGCCAACGAAGUGGUUAAAUCUCAUGAAGGUAAAUACAUUGUGUUUUAUUUAUCUAACCUAUUUAGAAUUAUUGUUUGCGUUCUCAAUAGAAUCCGAAUCUUUUUCCUGUUCCGUGGUAAACAUUGAUCUACUUGUAUAACCUACGGGAGGAUCUUUACCAGGUGUCGUUUUUUUGUACGAUGUAUCGAUUACGACGAUGUAAUGUCAUGUGGCAGAUUUUCAAGUUCUCUGGUUACCGUUUUUACUUUUUUCCAUCUUGUAUGACCACAUUGGCAGCUUGGCGUUUUUUGUAAAAAGACCAAAGCGACAAAAAAUUCUAUCGAUAAAGUGGUUAAAUGUCAUGAAGGUAAAUACAUGGUGUUUUAUUUAUCUGACCUAUUUAAAAUUAUUGUUUGCGUUCCCAAUAGAAGGAAAACUUUAAAAUGAAGUUAACUACCUCUUUUUCCUGUUCCGUGGUAAACAUUGAUCUACUUGUAUAACCUACGGGAGGAUCUUUACCAGCUUUCGUUUUUUUUGUACGAUGUAUCGAUUACGACGAUGUAAUGUCAUGUGGCAGAUUUUCAAGUUCUCUGGUUACCGUUUUUACUUUUUUCCAUCUUGUAUGACCACAUUGGCAGCUUGGCGUUUUUUGUAAAAAGACCAAAGCGACAAAAAAUUCUACCGAUAAAGUGGUUAAAUGUCAUGAAGGUAAAUACAUGGUGUUUUAUUUAUCUGACCUAUUUAGAAUUAUUGUUUGCGUUCCCAAUAGAAGGAAAGCCUACCUUCAUUAUAACUGAAUGACAUAUAUGAAUAAAUGAGAACUUAUUCAUAAAUGUGCUCCGCUCCUGAUACUUAUACUAUAUUCCAAUGCAAUCAUAACCGAUUUACAUUUUUUUUUGAAUUGCAGAAACUAUACCUUUACCACCAAACAAACAAACAAAAAGAGAAAGUUGCAGAACCGUCCAGUAUUUCGGAUUGUAAUUUUACAAGGCAGCCAAGUUUGAAACGCAAAUCUGCACACUUUAGCGUUCCUCCUUAAAUUAUUUCGGAUUGUAAUUUUACAAGGCAGCCAAGUUUGAAACGCAAAUCUGCACACGAUGGCAUUCCUCCGUCCAGUGUUUCGGAUUGCAACUUUACAAGGCAGCCGAGUUUGAAACGCAAAUAUGUACACUUUGCCGUUCCUCCGUCCAGUGUUUCGGAUUGUAACUUUACAAGGCAGCUAAGUUUGAAAUGCAAAUCUGCACACGAUGACGUUCCUCCGUCCAUUGUUUCGGAUUGCGACUUUACAAGGCAGCCAAGUUUGAAACGCAAAUCUGCACACAUUUUCGUUGACAUUCAGGUGAAUAGGUCAAUAUUAACUAAUCUAUACUAAUAUUAUAAAGCUGAAGAGAGAAUACCACCAAACAAAGAAAAAGAGGAAGUUGCAGAACCGACCAGUGUUUUGAAAAGUUAUUGUUGUGCUAUCUUGAGGGUGCCUUUGGUAAAGGCUUUACAAUUUGAGGAUUAAACACAGCUGAAGCAUUUGUCUUUCCUGAUGUUAAUUGAAGUGCAUGGGCACUAUUAAUAGUCACAGAGGCAGCCUGAGAUACAUCACCUUGAUCUGUGGCAGAUUGUUGAGAUGGUUCACCAAUCUGACCCGAUGUUGAAGUCUUUUAUUUUCAAAUUUAUUUGAGGUAAUAUUUGAAUGCUACGAUUCCGGGAAUUUCAUAAAUUGACAUUGUUUUUCCCGAAUUAUUUCGUAGCCAGUUGUCUUGAGCAUGAGCACAGUACGAUUAUAUAGCCCAUUGAUGCCCACAUCCAGUGGCUGUAGCCUGUGUGUGCAGUGAGAUGGGAACGACAUCAUUUUUAUUGAGUUUGCUUUAGCUUUCUCAACUUCGUUGGUGUCUAUGUGUGACGAGGGAUUGUCUGUUAUUUAAUAGUAACACUGGUUCUAUCUGGAGUGGGUUUCGUGAACUUGAUCAAGUGAUCCAUAUAUGUGAGGAAUUCAGUGGCAGUCAUCCAUCCUGAUUUAUUCCCAGCUUCAAUUGACUCAGAGGGCCCAUCUCUUAAAACCAAGUCUUUAAAUUUUAAACGGAGAAAGACAAACAGGUGGAACCGUAUUUCCUGCGACACUUGCUACUAACUAAAGUCCCACGCUCUGCGAAAACUAUAGCACCAACCUUUGUUUUGUGCCUUUUUAAGCUACUAUCUUCUCCGGCUUUAAAACAGUUGUGACUCCAGUCUCGUCCAGGUUCCAUAUUCUGGAAUAAGAUAUCUUAUAUUAGUAAAGAAUAUCGCCGAGUUUUGUUAAAAAAAAUCAUCUAUUUCCUUUUUAACACGCUUAUAUUAGCUUCACUUGGUAGAAUCUCAAUUUGGCACACGCUCUGAGUUCUAAUGACAAUACAUGACUAGAAAAGAAACGUUAUACAAAUCCAAUAUGGCGGCCUCCUCAAGAUGGCGAACAGGCUAUUUGAAAUUAAAGAAAGAAAGAAAGAAAUAUCUUUAUUUUUAGGCAGUGACACACAUUACAAUAAUAAAUUUUAAAUAGUUAACUUAUAGCUAAGAAGAAGAACGCCCUGCAAUAUGUGGCAUAACCUAGAAAAAGGCCCUAACUCAGCAUUGCACCCCCAUGGUAUGGGUAUCAAAUGAAAAGGUUCUCUGCUAGAAAUACGAGAAAUAUCCAUUUUUAAUUAUUAGUGCGUGCUAAAAGCGUGUUUUUUAAACUUUUUUAUUGUUAUAAUUCCAGUGAACUAGUCCGCCUCAGCUUCUCGAUUCUUAUGCCACGUAGGAGGAAUGUUUCCCAAAGAAUAUUUAACUGCACAUUCAUACGCAAGUCUUCGUUACUCUCCUGGCAGCAAACCGAAGUAUACUAAUGAAAACUUUAAAAUGAAGUUAACUACCUCUUUUUCCUGUUCCGUGGUAAACAUUGAUCUACUUGUAUAACCUACGGGAGGAUUUUUACCAGCUUUCGUUUUUUUUGUACGAUGUAUCGAUUACGACAAUGUAAUGUCGUGUGGCAGAUUUUCAAGUUUUCUGGUUACCGUUUUUACUUUUUUCAAUCUUGUAUGACUUCAUUGGCAGCUAAGCGUUUUUCGUAAAUAGAAUAAAGCGAAAAAAAAUUCUGCCAACGAAGUGGUUAAAUCUCAUGAAGGUAAAUACAUUGUGUUUUAUUUAUCUAACCUAUUUAGAAUUAUUGUUUGCGUUCUCAAUAGAAUCCGAAUCUUUUUCCUGUUCCGUGGUAAACAUUGAUCUACUUGUAUAACCUACGGGAGGAUCUUUACCAGGUGUCGUUUUUUUGUACGAUGUAUCGAUUACGACGAUGUAAUGUCAUGUGGCAGAUUUUCAAGUUCUCUGGUUACCGUUUUUACUUUUUUCCAUCUUGUAUGACCACAUUGGCAGCUUGGCGUUUUUUGUAAAAAGACCAAAGCGACAAAAAAUUCUACCGAUAAAGUGGUUAAAUGUCAUGAAGGUAAAUACAUGGUGUUUUAUUUAUCUGACCUAUUUAAAAUUAUUGUUUGCGUUCCCAAUAGAAGGAAAACUUUAAAAUGAAGUUAACUACCUCUUUUUCCUGUUCCGUGGUAAACAUUGAUCUACUUGUAUAACCUACGGGAGGAUCUUUACCAGCUUUCGUUUUUUUUGUACGAUGUAUCGAUUACGACGAUGUAAUGUCAUGUGGCAGAUUUUCAAGUUCUCUGGUUACCGUUUUUACUUUUUUCCAUCUUGUAUGACCACAUUGGCAGCUUGGCGUUUUUUGUAAAAAGACCAAAGCGACAAAAAAUUCUACCGAUAAAGUGGUUAAAUGUCAUGAAGGUAAAUACAUGGUGUUUUAUUUAUCUGACCUAUUUAAAAUUAUUGUUUGCGUUCCCAAUAGAAGGAAAACUUUAAAAUGAAGUUAACUACCUCUUUUUCCUGUUCCGUGGUAAACAUUGAUCUACUUGUAUAACCUACGGGAGGAUCUUUACCAGCUUUCGUUUUUUUUGUACGAUGUAUCGAUUACGACGAUGUAAUGUCAUGUGGCAGAUUUUCAAGUUCUCUGGUUACCGUUUUUACUUUUUUCCAUCUUGUAUGACCACAUUGGCAGCUUGGCGUUUUUUGUAAAAAUACCAAAGCGACAAAAAAUUCUACCGAUAAAGUGGUUAAAUGUCAUGAAGGUAAAUACAUGGUGUUUUAUUUAUCUGACCUAUUUAAAAUUAUUGUUUGCGUUCCCAAUAGAAGGAAAACUUUAAAAUGAAGUUAACUACCUCUUUUUCCUGUUCCGUGGUAAACAUUGAUCUACUUGUAUAACCUACGGGAGGAUCUUUACCAGCUUUCGUUUUUUUUUGUACGAUGUAUCGAUUACGACGAUGUAAUGUCAUGUGGCAGAUUUUCAAGUUCUCUGGUUACCGUUUUUACUUUUUUCCAUCUUGUAUGACCACAUUGGCAGCUUGGCGUUUUUUGUAAAAAGACCAAAGCGACAAAAAAUUCUACCGAUAAAGUGGUUAAAUGUCAUGAAGGUAAAUACAUGGUGUUUUAUUUAUCUGACCUAUUUAGAAUUAUUGUUUGCGUUCCCAAUAGAAGGAAAGCCUACCUUCAUUAUAACUGAAUGACAUAUAUGAAUAAAUGAGAACUUAUUCAUAAAUGUGCUCCGCUCCUGAUACUUAUACUAUAUUCCAAUGCAAUCAUAACCGAUUUACAUUUUUUUUUGAAUUGCAGAAACUAUACCUUUACCACCAAACAAACAAACAAAAAGAGAAAGUUGCAGAACCGUCCAGUAUUUCGGAUUGUAAUUUUACAAGGCAGCCAAGUUUGAAACGCAAAUCUGCACACUUUAGCGUUCCUCCUUAAAUUAUUUCGGAUUGUAAUUUUACAAGGCAGCCAAGUUUGAAACGCAAAUCUGCACACGAUGGCAUUCCUCCGUCCAGUGUUUCGGAUUGCAACUUUACAAGGCAGCCGAGUUUGAAACGCAAAUAUGUACACUUUGCCGUUCCUCCGUCCAGUGUUUCGGAUUGUAACUUUACAAGGCAGCUAAGUUUGAAAUGCAAAUCUGCACACGAUGACGUUCCUCCGUCCAUUUUUUCGGAUUGCGACUUUACAAGGCAGCAAAGUAUGAAACGCAAAUCUGCACACAUUUUCGUUGACAUUCAGGUGAAUAAGGUCAAUAUUAACUAAUCUAUACUAAUAUUAUAAAGCUGAAGAGAGAAUACCACCAAACAAAGAAAAAGAGGAAGUUGCAGAACCGACCAGUGUUUUGAAAAGUUAUUGUUGUGCUAUCUUGAGGGUGCCUUUGGUAAAGGCUUUACAAUUUGAGGAUUAAACACAGCUGAAGCAUUUGUCUUUCCUGAUGUUAAUUGAAGUGCAUGGGCACUAUUAAUAGUCACAGAGGCAGCCUGAGAUACAUCACCUUGAUCUGUGGCAGAUUGUUGAGAUGGUUCACCAAUCUGACCCGAUGUUGAAGUCUUUUAUUUUCAAAUUUAUUUGAGGUAAUAUUUGAAUGCUACGAUUCCGGGAAUUUCAUAAAUUGACAUUGUUUUUCCCGAAUUAUUUCGUAGCCAGUUGUCUUGAGCAUGAGCACAGUACGAUUUAAAUAGCCCAUUGAUGCCCACAUCCAGUGGCUGUAGCCUGUGUGUGCAGUGAGAUGGGAACGACAUCAUUUUUAUUGAGUUUGCUUUAGCUUUCUCAACUUCGUUGGUGUCUAUGUGUGACGAGGGAUUGUCUGUUAUUUAAUAGUAACACUGGAUCUAUCUGGAGUGGGUUUCGUGAACUUGAUCAAGUGAUCCAUAUAUGUGAGGAAUUCAGUGGCAGUCAUCCAUCCUGAUUUAUUCCCAGCUUCAAUUGACUCAGAGGGCCCAUCUCUUAAAACCAAGUCUUUAAAUUUUAAACGGAGAAAGACAAACAGGUGGAACCGUAUUUCCUGCGACACUUGCUACUAACUAAAGUCCCACGCUCUGCGGAAACUAUAGCACCAACCUUUGUUUUGUGCCUUUUUAAGCUACUAUCUUCUCCGGCUUUAAAACAGUUGUGACUCCAGUCUCGUCCAGGUUCCAUAUUCUGGAAGGAGAUAUCUUAUAUUAGUAAAGAAUAUCGCCGAGUUUUGUUAAAAAAAAAAUCAUCUAUUUCCUUUUUAACACGCUUAUAUUAGCUUCACUUGGUAGAAUCUCAAUUUGGCACACGCUCUGAAUUCUAAUGACAAUACAUGACUAGAAAAGAAACGUUAUACAAAUCCAAUAUGGCGGCCUCCUCAAGAUGGCGAACAGGCUAUUUGAAAUGAAAGAAAGAAAGAAAUAUCUUUAUUUUAGGCAGUGCCACACAUUACAAUAAUAAAUUUUAAAUAUAUAGUUUAUAGCUAAAGCAAAAAAAGAAGAACGCCCUGCAAUAUGUGGCAUAACCUAGAAAAAGGCCCUAACUCAGCAUUGCACCCCCAUGGUAUGGGUAUCAAAUGAAAAGGUUCUCUGCUAGAAAGACGAGAAAUAUCCAUUUUUAAUUAUUAGUGCGUGCUAAAAGCGCGUUUUUUAAACAUUUUUAUUGUUAUAAUUCCAGUGAACUAGUCCGCCUCAGCUUCUCGAUUCUUAUGCCACGUAGGAGGAAUGUUUCCCAAAGAAUAUUUAACUGCACAUUCAUACGCAAGUCUUCGUUACUCUCCUGGCAGCAAACCGAAGUAUACUAAUGAAAACUUUAAAAUGAAGUUAACUACCUCUUUUUCCUGUUCCGUGGUAAACAUUGAUCUACUUGUAUAACCUACGGGAGGAUUUUUACCAGCUUUCGUUUUUUUUGUACGAUGUAUCGAUUACGACAAUGUAAUGUCGUGUGGCAGAUUUUCAAGUUCUCUGGUUACCGUUUUUACUUUUUUCCAUCUUGUAAGACCACAUUGGCAGCUUGGCGUUUUUCGUAAAAAGACCAAAGCGACAAAAAUUUCUGCCGAUAAAGUGGUUAAAUGUCAUGAAGGUAAUUACAUGGUGUUUUAUUUAUCUGACCUAUUUAGAAUUAUUGUUUGCGUUCCCAAUAGAAGGAAAGCCUACCUUCAUUAUAACUGAAUGACAUAUAUGAAUAAAUGAGAACUUAUUCAUAAAUAUGCUCCGCUCCUGAUACUUAUACUAUUUUCCAAUGCAAUCAUAACUGAUUUACAUUUUUUUUUGAAUUGCAGAAACUAUACCUUUACCACCAAACAAACAAACAAAAACAGAAAGUUGCAGAACCGUCCACUAUUUCGGAUUGUAAUUUUACAAGGCAGCCAAGUUUGAAACGUAAAUCUGCACACUCUGGCGUUCCUCCGCCCAGUAUUUCGGAUUGUAAUUUUACAAGGCAGCCAAGUUUGAAACGCAAAUCUGCACACUUUGGCGUUCCUCCGUCUAGUGUUUCGGAUUGUAACUUUACAAGGCAGCCAAGUUUGAAACGCAAAUCUGCACACGAUGGCGUUCCUCCGUCCAGUAUUUCGGAUUGUAAUUUUACAAGGCAGCCAAGUUUGAAACGCAAAUCUGCACACGAUGGCGUUCCUCCGUCCAGUGUUUCGGAUUGCGACUUUACAAGUUAGCCAAGUUUGAAACGCAAAUCUGUAGAAGUAUAAAAAUGAAAACUUUUAAAUGAAGUUAACUACCUCUUUUUCCUGUUUCGUGGUAAACAUUGAUCUACUUGUAUAACCUACGGUAGGAUCUUUACCUGCUCUCAUAUUUCUUACAAAUCGAUGUAAUGUCAUGUGGCAAAUUUUCAGUUCUGGCUACCGUUUUUACUUUUUUAUAUCUUGUAUGACCACAUUGGCAGCUUGGCGUAAUAACAUUUCGGAUGUUUAUCCUCUCAGUAUUCCGUUCUACCAUCCUAAUAAUAUGAAAAGUAUACCGUACAAAUGUAUAGAAAAUUUACGUAACCCGGGAACAACCAGCCCCUGCCUCCCCUGCCGUUCAGUUAUGGUUUUUAUCAAAUCAUUUACAUUUGAUUUUGAAAAUUCAUUCAAUUUGAAAAUUGUCUAAUUUGUUGAAAAUGUACGUGUUCGAACAACUUUUUCCCAAUAAAUUUAAUCUUUUCAAAAAAACCUGCCCAUCCAUUGUUCGAAUAACAACGUAAGCUAUUUUACAGAUUUUGAUUACAUCGCUAGAUGGAUACAUGAGCCUCUUUAUUUUUGGCUACAAUAAAUGUAUUAAGAGAGCACCAACACAAACAUCUCUAGUAUUUUUUUUUAUCAAUACACGUGUAAUGUUUUCCGAAAUUAUAUGCUAUUAUUUGGAAACUAAACUCAGUCAAACUUUUUAAAAAUUCGCCAAUUUCUUGUUCGUCUGAAUCAUCAUAAAUCCAUUCUUCAUUUGACACUGAAUCGGUAGAUAUUUUAUUUAUUCGCCCUGCCGCAGAAGAGCAGCAAGGAUUGAUAAAUUUUAAUAUACGAGUAUGUAUGUCUCAUGUAAAAGAAAAAUACUUUUUACUGUUCAUCUCAUCUAAAUUUUUAUAAGCAUAUUAUUAGAUUAAAAUAGAAAAACUAAAACGACAGCGAGAGAACAGAAUCAAUCUCUUUAAUCAAAAAAGUCAUCAAUUAGCACAGACUGCCUUAAAAUACUACCAAAAUACUAUACUUGUAUUACUUGUAUUGUUGCCAUAUUCCAAAAAUAAAUGUCCCAAUGCAGUACAAUUUUCCAAACCAAUAUCUUUGAAUAUAUCUCAACAAGGACCGAAAGCUUUUUAUAUGCCGCUACGAAUCGUCGAGCUGUUGGGUUAUUAUUUGUUCCACCAUGUGCUUCAAUAUUCCAAAAUAAAAGCUCUAGAUCUUGACUAAGCUUUUAAAAUGAUAAAUAGUUAAAUAUUUUUCUUGAAUCAAAUUGACAUAAAUAUUUUAAUGAUCCUGCACAUCCCAAAAGUCCCAAAAAUCCAGGUUUUUCGAGGACUUUUUAUUAAAAGAACACCAUCUGUCGUUUUAAGACUUGAAAUAUACGAUGCAUUGCUUUCAUUCUUCUUUUUCUUUAAAACCCAUAAUGAAAAAUAUUUCGUGAAUUGAAUAUGUCAAACAUAAUAUUAAUUAAUAAAAGAAAAUGUUCUGUAGCUUGACAGUCUUUAAAUCUUUACGGCAAAAUUGCAUGGUCUCUUACUUUUAACAUUAACGCUAAAAAGCUGUGUGGCUAAUUUCAGUUUGAUCCUCUGAUUAUAAAAAUCGAUAUGGCGGUUUCUGAGGUCAUUAGACUAAUGAAACUUUUCGUUUUCUUGUAUUUUAUUAAGCCCUACUACUUAUUUAUUUCUAAUAUUGCCACUGCAAUUUAUUUCCAUCUUUGUCAAUAAAUAUUUUGGCUGCUUGAAAUGUAUUUCUCAAAAGUUUUGCCAUUAUGGCAAGAAUCGAGUUUGUUGACUAAAGUUGCUUUUGUUAUAGGAUGUUCUAAUUGUACAUUUCCAUUUUAAAAAGAACACUGUUGUGGACAAGAACAGUAAAGUGGUGAAGAACAAUAAAUGUUGUGUCAUGACAUAUUCGCUGCGUAUCCAUCAAAUGUUAAGGCCACAAUUUUAAUGCCGGAAUCGUAGACAAGUUUAAGACAAAGCUCAACGACCACACCAUGGAAAAGCCCACGGGUACCUUAAAUUUGCUGUUUAUCGUGCGUAUUAUGCGUAUCCUCUACCAAGAUCAAGAUGCGCAGCGAAUAUAUUUAACGUACACAAUUCUUAAUUUGUAAGAAAGACAGUUAGAUUUUUGAUAUUGCUAUAUCAAUUUCAUUCACAUUGUUUAAUGCAUAGAUCUUGGUAUAUAACAGCGGAUACGCGACAUGAAAUUAUUUUAGAGGUUUCUGGUUGUCAUGUUUUAUCGAUAAUAAUGAAAAACCCCUUACAUUAGUAAGGGGUGAGUUAGCUUGGGCUGGGGCUUCUCGAAGGACCAGACGUCUAAUGAAGUUGGAGCAGGGAUUGGGUUAUAGGGACCAGAUUUGGGGUGAAAUGAUAAGUGCUUGGAAGGUACCUUGAUGCGCUCAUGAUGAGAUGAGAUAGCGGGCGGCGGGUCUCGCUGUGCUGGCUGAAGACUUCGAUGUGCAGGAAGCUGGCCACCGCGUGUGGCGCCUGGUGCAGUGGAAACCGGUGAUAGCGUCAAAUGUUUCACAACACUGAAUUUACUUUUGCGCGGAUUUGAGUUUUGUGCGACUCGAGUGAAUAACACUGAAUUUAACUGAAGGUUUUAGGUGAAUUUAAUAAGAAUUGCACCGAGAGGUGUGCCGACACGCCGCGUUCCGACCAGAGAGACGAUAGAAGAUUGUGAGAAAAAAAUGGCCGACGUUAUUCCAGGAAAUCCGUCUAUGGUCUGCAGUGUUGCCAUUUUCGAGUCGUCACGCAUUUAGUGGGAACAUACUCGAUGUAAGGUUAUAAAAAUAUUAAGUAAAUUUGUGAAAUUUAAAUGCAAUGUACUUACUAUUGUAUUUUAGAAUAUUGUAUAAUAUAAAAAUCUAUACUUACAUUGUAAUAUCUUAUUGCGAAAAUGUAUUUUUAUUGCUACCUUAAAACCAAAUUUUGAUAAAAUAAAAUGGGCUGUGGCUGUGUCAUGGACACGGCGGAAUUGUUGUACGUGAAUACGUAAUUGGUUAAAUUCGUGAUGAACGGAAUCUCUUUUUAUAGGUCCUUUAUAGAUUUUAGCAUUUGGAAAUGUAAGUGAAUUCACAUUUAGUGUAUCAAAAAGGUUAUCCAUAGUUAAUACAAAUGGUAUAAUAUUUCUACAUUCGUUUUGUAGAACACAUCGUGAUGUAGGAUGUUCUAAAGCAGUUCGCAGUGCUACGGCUGAACAUUUGUGCUGCUAAUUUCACUCUCAUCUUUUGUAUUUUAUCUGGAUGAACAUGUUCUUCACUUUACUUUUGGAAAAAUCUUAAUUCUUCAAUCUAUUUGCUACAUAAUAGUUGAUGAAAAUAGUCCCAUUUAACAAUUUUUGUUUUAUCUUCAUCUUCAAAAUCAGUAUAGAUUAAAUUUAUUGUCAACAAAUUGUUUCGCAUACCUUUAAGGAGGUGAGGUGGGUCGAAAAAAAGACUUUUUUUUUGUUUGCCAAUUUUAAAAUAAUCAUUUUCAAAUUGCAAAUUUUUCUUAAUACACAUUUCUUUAGUAUCUUUGAUCAGUUCAUUAAUGGCACUGACAUUCACAGUGCUUUGAUCGCACACUGUACAUAAAUUAACAGGCCAGUUUUUGUUAUUUUCUGUAUAACAUCUUUUAAUAUAUUUUUAGUUUGCUUAAAAUGUUUCUUUAUACCUUUGACUAUGAAGACUAGGGCAUGGUUUGCAAUGAUUUUCUUCCCAUUACUGACAAAUCUCCUCAAUUUAUCUUUCGAGGAUUUUCGAUAAGGACGCUAGUCCAUUAAUUAGCAACAACAAAAAUAUUUUAUUACAAAAUAAGUUAUUGGUGGUAAAGAAACUGAACAUACGAGUAGUUAUUGAAGUUUCAGGCUAAUGAACUAAGAAUUCAGAAGAAUUCUUAGUUAAUCAUCCUGAUUUUCGUGAUAUUCAUUGUUUGCUGAAGUUGUUGGCCAUGCAAAAAUCUCUGUAUAGAAAGGGGAAUGUCCACCAGCCCAUACAACGUCGGCCCAAGAAA